UUAUUUAUUGAUGAAAUGGUUGCAGAGCCAGCCCUGGAUUUAUGUAACUACGCAUAUGGUUUUAAAAUGGAAAUAAAUUAAUAUUAAUAGUAGUAGUAUUCAUAAUAUUUUUAAUUUUCCUGAUUACUACAUCCAUGUUUCGAGGCCUUUCUCCCUGUUUGUAAGUAUGUUUUAAAGAAAAAAGUUCUUUGAUUGGAUUUAACUGUGGCGUGUAUGCUGUCAGAUGCUUAAUAGCUAUACCAAGAGAGGCUAGUGUUUCCCAAACAGAAAGACUCUAGUAGAAUUUACAAUUGUCCAUAACAAGCACUGGCGCUUCUACAUUUGCAUUCCUAAUCGCUGGUGCCAUCAUUGUAGUUAUAAAAGUACGAAAUGAAUCUAAGCAACUUUUCGCCGAAGCCAAAAAAAUUCGUGCAACAGAUGCAAAGAAAUUACAAACGAAUACCAAGUUGGUUAGAGUCUAAUGCUCAUGCAAUUAAAACUGCUAUGAAAGCAUUGAGAGUCUUCAACAAAAGCUCACAUAUAUGAUCAUAUUGCAAAUAUUGAAAGUCCUCUUCGUUGGUAAAUAAAUGUCAAACAAUAUGUUUGGAUAAUGCAAGCAAUUGUUAAGCAGUUAUAUUUAUUAUUGUUUAGUUUCUUUUUAUAUAUUUAUAGUAUAAACUACAACUGUAAUCUUCUUGUAUAUUCACAGUUUUUAAUAUUAGUUUGUAUAUUUAUUUAGUUAUGUUUUAGUUAAGAUAAUCUAUUUAUUAUAAUAUUUUAAUUUUAAACAAAUGAACUGAAUAAAAAAUUAUCUUGACAUUAUUUUGCCAACUAAAGUUUAAUGUUAACAUUUAGUUGUUGAAAAACCUGUAAUAACUGAUUUUUAUUUUCAGAUUUUAAUUUAAGGUAGUUUUUAUUUUAGCCUAAAUAACCAUACCUAAUUAAGGCUAGCCAAUGCUCUUACUGUCUUUCCAAAAAAAAAUUAUUUUUGACACAAUUAGGACUACUAUUAACUAUUACUAUUUUAUAAGACUUUUAACUUUAGGAUUUUAAUUAUGAUACAAACAUUUAACUGUAUGAUUUUAAUUAUGACAAUUAGAUACAAACAUUUAAUUAUAUGAAGUUAAUGAGCUAGCAAGUAAAAAACUUACUUUGAUUAAACGUUGCUUAAUUAGAUAAUAAGAAUAUUAACUCUUCAAAGUUUAGGAAAUAUAAGAAUAUUAACUCUUCUAAAAAGAUUUUUAAAUAUUUUUUUAUUAAUAAAAAUUUAGGUUUUAUUAUUAUUAUUAUUAUUUUUCAUUGUGUUUAGUUUUCAUUAUUAUCUUGUUAUUGUUAAAACUACUAAAAUUUACGUUUAUUUCAGAAUAAAAAAUAAAUAAACAAGAGAAAAAAUCAAUACAUGAGGGAAUGGCGCUAAAAUAGCCAAGCCUUAAAUAAUAUACUUGUAAAUGAAAAAAUCGCAACUCAUCGAAUGUCAAAUCCAAAAUUAAUGAAGUCAAGAAUUGCAUUGAUUUCAAAAAAAAAUUAAAAUUGAGAACUAUAGUGACUUUUAAUUUGUGUCUGAUCAUAAAGAUAUUUCUAAAAUUGAGAGUUCUGAUCUAGACUCUGAAUACCUACAUAUGAUGCUAAUGAUUAUCUUAAUGAAGGAGUACAUGUUACAGUGAUUGCCAAAUGGAUUUUAAAACACUUAAUAACUAGAAAUGCAAGUGAUGAACUGUUAUUUUUAAUUUUACACCAGUAUGGUCAUCAUGUUAAUUUACCAAAAUGCGCAAGGACAAUUUUAAAUUCUCCUAGGAAUGUUCCAAAGUGCCUGAAUUUUCAUCAAAAAUGGAAACCAAAAAAAUUGGUAUUGAGAAAUCGUGUUCAAACUCAAGCUCAGAUGAAAAACUACAACUAUUACAAACUCUGAGAAAAUCAAGCUGUGGCUGAAGUUAACAACCAUUUUUUCAAAAUGUGUUGAGGCAACUAUAAAAACUAAAAGCUGAAGUUAAAGUGCAUGGGCAGAAACAUGCCCAAAUUGGACAAACCAUAACUGCAACUCUCCCAGAAGGCCUGACCUUUCCACUCGAAGAGAUAAUGAUCUUCUAGAAUUCAACAGAAUUCUUAUGAAAAUUUCUGAGCAGAGAUCAAUAACAGUGCAUUAAGAAAAAACUAUGCCACAGCAACAACUUAGUUAUGGUUGUCGGGUUCAGCUGAUAGAGCUGGCCUUCAAAGAAAUUGUGAGGAGACGCGUAAAAAUGUAGAAAAUAAACUAUUUUGUCAGUCUUGGUGGCUGUAAUUGUAAAGAUACGAUUCGAUGCAUUUUUACAGCAGCUAAUAAUCAAGUUUGGCCGUUUUUCAGUUUCAACGGCCGAAUAGGAAAACAGUUAUUUGAUAGGUUUUUGUUCUGCCAAUUACAAUGAAUCGUCAGGUAUACAGAUGGAAGUGAAUGGCAGCAAUAUGCGGGAAGUUCACCUAUUUUUUUUUUUUGUCAGCUGCUGCAGAAGCUAUUGACCCACCAUCUGCAUUUGUAAGUUAGGUGAAUCUAGCGCAUAUUUUAUCAACUGAUAGCAUGCAUAUUGAAAAUGGUUCGUAGAACUUACAAUCCUUUAGUAAAUUUUUCACAUUAAGAUUUCUCAUUCUCUAAAAAAGAAGAAGUUAGAGAGGUGUUAAAGCACGCUCCUAGUCGACCAGGUAGAGUUAACUAAGAGACAAAAUUUACAACAAAUGUUCAAAAUAAAGAUGCGUUGCAGCAAAAUUUUGAAGAAAGUUCUGACAGUACGAGCUAGCAAAUGUUAAAUGACCAGAUUAAAAAAAAAUGUAUUUGUUUAGUGGCUAAA
rnacentral:lncRNA from 1 species